rnacentral:lncRNA from 1 species
UUGGAGAAGAUUGCGAUAAGGAUGCGUAGGUUGAGAGAUGAAUAUAUGCAGAAUCUGAUCGAUGAGAUUCGAUUGAAGGGAAGAAGUUCUUCUUUGAAAGACGAGAUUUCAGUGAUUGAAAUCCUCUUGUCACUUCAAGAUUCUGACCCUGAAUUUUACACAGACGAUAUCAUAAAAAGCGUCUUGCUGGUAACCACAUCAAUAUAUGUGUGUGUGUGUGUGCAUACAUAUAUAUAUAUAAUAAUCUUACUUAGUUCUAUCAAAUGGCAGAUCAUUUCGCUUAACAAUUUCACUUUCUAUAUUCAGAUGCUGUUCAAUGGAGGAACAGACACAUCAGGGAUCACCAUGGAAUGGGCAAUGUCACUGCUUCUAAAUAACCCAGAAGCCAUGAACAAAUUAAGAUCCGAGAUCGACAAAAACGUCGGACAUGGCCGUCUAAUAAACGACUCUGAUCUCCCAAAACUCCAUUACCUCCGAUGUGUUAUACACGAGACUCUUAGAUUAUACCCCGCCACGCCGCUUUUGCUCCCUCACUUGUCAAACGCC